rnacentral:rRNA from 1 species
UGCCAGCCGCCGCGGUAAUACGUAGGUGGCAAGCGUUGUCCGGAAUUAUUGGGCGUAAAGCGCGCGCAGGUGGUUUCUUAAGUCUGAUGUGAAAGCCCACGGCUCAACCGUGGAGGGUCAUUGGAAACUGGGGAACUUGAGUGCAGAAGAGGAAAGUGGAAUUCCAAGUGUAGCGGUGAAAUGCGUAGAUAUUUGGAGGAACACCAGUGGCGAAGGCGACUUUCUGGUCUGUAACUGACACUGAGGCGCGAAAGCGUGGGGAGCAAACAGGAUUAGAUA